rnacentral:rRNA from 1 species
GACGAACGCUGGCGGCGUGCCUAAUACAUGCAAGUAGAACGCUGAAGGAGGAGCUUGCUUCUCUGGAUGAGUUGCGAACGGGUGAGUAACGCGUAGGUAACCUGCCUGGUAGCGGGGGAUAACUAUUGGAAACGAUAGCAAAUACCGCAUAAUAGCAGUUGUUGCAUGAUAACUGUUUGAAAGGUGCAAUUGCACCACUACCAGAUGGACCUGCGUUGUAUUAGCUAGUUGGUGGGGUAACGGCUCACCAAGGCGACGAUACAUAGCCGACCUGAGAGGGUGAUCGGCCACACUGGGACUGAGACACGGCCCAGACUCCUACGGGAGGCAGCAGUAGGGAAUCUUCGGCAAUGGACGGAAGUCUGACCGAGCAACGCCGCGUGAGUGAAGAAGGUUUUCGGAUCGUAAAGCUCUGUUGUAAGAGAAGAACGAGUGUGAGAGUGGAAAGUUCACACUGUGACGGUAUCUUACCAGAAAGGGACGGCUAACUACGUG